CAUUUUUCAAGUCUGAGAGCAAAACCCCGAGCCUUCCAUCUCUCACUCCCACUUUGGCCUUAGAGAGUUUCAGCUAAAAAACUUCAACACUUUGUCAAAACAGCCGAUUCCUCAACUCGCUUUCUUCGAGCAUCUCUCUUCUCAACAUCAUCAAAAACCAUCGAUCUUUCUUCUUCUCUUAAAGAAUCGAACCCAUUAUUCUUCUCGAAACCCAUCUUCUUCUUAAAACCCAUCUUCUGAAAACACUCGAUUAGGGUUCGAUAUACUCAAUUAGGGUUUUCAAUUUGGGGAUUUGAAGGAGGAGGGAGCGGGGUGGUUUCUCGGGUUUCUUCAAUCAUUGAAACCCUAACUCGUUCUCUCCAACUCAUUCGCGACCCCUCAUACUCCACCGUACUCUGAAGCUUUUCUCUGACCUGGUGUCGCGACAGCCCACCUCUCUGGCCUCGCCUUCGCCUUUGCCUUCGUUCACUCCAAUUCAGUGAGUGACCUUUCAGAGAUAGAUUCAGACUCUCCACUAUUUCUAUAGCCAAAGCCGAAGCGAAGAGAAGCAGCUUUUUUGGGCUAUGGAGCCUCGCGUAGGGGGACGAUUCCGAGUCGGCCGGAAGAACAGUAGUGGAUCCUUUGGAGAGAUCUACUUAGAAGAAUCUGAGGGAGGGAAAGGCGAUAGAGGCUGCUAGGUCGUUGGGAUCAAGAGAACAGAAGGAGAGGUUGGUGCGGGUUUUGUUUCGAUACGUAGUGGGUUGUUGUUUGUGUGGAUUUUGAAAGGUUUAACAUCGACGGAAGGUAUUGUAUAAGGUUCUAUGCGAAAAAGUAUCUGGAUUGUUUUUCUGCCACUGUGUUCCUGUUUUUGUUCUUUGAUAUUGGUUCGUUGUUCUGUAUUCAUUUAGGUAUGGAAUCUUUGUAUUAUUACUGAUGUUUGUUAUUAGCAUUGGUUUAAAUUAAUUACAAUUCUAAGGAGUGAGUAUAUUUAGGGGAUGAUUUGUUGUCAAUGUAUACAGUACGUAACCAACCAUGCGUCAUUUGGGAUGUACUGAUGAUAAUGAUUGGAUGCCAUGAGAAAGUCUGCACUUGCAUUUAGAUUAUGGUUUAGAUGUGUUUAUUAUAUGACAUCUGGGUGGUAGGCAAGAAACAGAUAUAUGAGGAAAAAAUAACCACUAUAAUUUAGAAGUUAAGGCUUAAUGUAAUGUGUUUUUAAUAAGAUAGAAAUUUAACUAAUGUUUUCUUUGGCCUUUGCUUAUUUUGUCAUGAACGAUACCUCUAAAUUGAGGAAAGUAGGAGCAAUGGUUGUGUUCAGCACUUGCAGGGUUUAGUUUUUGUUUACUCAUGUUCAUAUAUUCGGUUUGGAAUGAAGUAUUUUUCUAACUUUCUUUGUUUUUCUGGUGGGUUGUGGGUCUUGCCGAGAUGGUUAUGUAUGUAAUAGAACUUGGUAGCUGCAAGUGUGUUUGGGUAGUAUUAGAGAUAUACUGAUUUGAUAAUGAGGUUUUUGUACUGGUGUUAAUCUCACUGCCACCCCCCUUAUCAUAUCCAUCACAGAAAGUAGUUUCUGUGAGGGAGAAGGAGAGCCCCUUUGAGUGAGAGUGAGAGAGAGAGAGAGAGAUUUUCAUAUAUUGUUGUUUUUCACCAUGAAUUGAUAAAGCUGUGGCCUACCCUCAUGUGAUUGAGAAUUAUGUAGUAUAUUACUGUGUACUGGUUUAUUUCUGGUCUGAUUCAUUCAAUUUUGACUUGAGAUGGCUUGUUUUCAAGAUUCUGUCAGUGUUUUGCUUCAAAAGGCAGCUAUUUUGUCUAAAGGUUAUUCACUUAUUCAUGCCAUCUUUUAUUGAAGGUGGUAAUGGACCCAACUUUCUAUGCUUAACGAUAUGGUAGAUUGAAGCAGGUUGGGAAGUGAAAAGUGAAAUCAGAAAGAAUGAGAGUAAGAACAUAGGGAAGCUUGUUACCAUGUCGAUCUAUGUCGGGCUACUUUCAUCAACUUCCACCUAUGGUCUCCAUGAAACUGAGUAAGCAUCUGAAAAAGGAGUGAAGCAUUGGAGAAGAUUAUGGUAACCUAGUUGAUCAAGUAUUUCUUGUUUCAUUCACUUGGUUAUCGUCCUAAGUUGAUAUUUAUAUACUUCUUUUCAAUCUAUCCCAACUCCCCAUCUACAAAGGGCGCUGAAAUUUGUUCUGUUUCUAGUUGUUUAGAUAAAAAGUCUGAUGCAAAAUUUGUAAAAAGUUAUUGUUACCAAAAAUGCUUUGGUACUUAACUAUAUGGUGAAAUGCUUGUUAAAUUGACUGUGAUGUUGUAGUCUGAGCUGGUUGGAGUGAAGGGCAAUGCCUACAGGUCAGUUUUUGGCUCUGCGAUAUCCAAAUGGUGUGCAUAGUAUUAGCUCUGUGCCUUAAACUAGUGUAUCGUUUUGGAACUUUUUGUCUCUCUUUAAUUAAGUGAUAUUUUUUUUUGUAGGAACCUGAUGCAAUGUAACUUCUUUAAUUAAGGCAUAAAAAAUUUGGCAGUCAACAUAUAGCAUUGGAGGGCAGUUAUAAGGAAGAAUUUGUUCAAGGAAUUUGACAACCAUCAAUAAAGACUUCAUAAGAGACAUGUUUUGGAACAACAUGUGUAUCAGCUUGGCCGCUAUGAAUGGGCAAAGUAUGUCGUAAAGGCGUAUGUAUAGGAGCUAAAGGAAAGCGUAAGAGGAAGUAGGUUGUUGCUGAAGGAAAACAUCAUUUUUGUGCUUCUCUGCUGGUACAAUAUUCAUGCACUGUGUGGCAUGUUUUGUAACAAAUAGUUUGUAUUUGUAUAAGCUUUUGAUGUCCCAAGUAGAUGGGCAUGUAUUUGAAUGCUUUUCUUAUUUCAAUGUUGGCUUGGAUGAUUGGGAAAUCCUCCCUUUUAAAGUUUGAAUGCUUUUCUUCAAAUAGUAUGAGUUGGAUUACUCAUUUCAUA